rnacentral:rRNA from 1 species
CGUGAGGGAAAGGUGAAAAGAACCCCGGGAGGGGAGUGAAAUAGAACCUGAAACCCUGCACUUACAAGCUGUGGGAGCACAUUACUUGUGUGACCGCGUACUUUUUGUAGAACGGGCCAACGAGUUACGUUACGUAGCAAGGUUAAGCACUUAAGGUGUGGAGCCGUAGCGAAAGCGAGUCUUAAAUGGGCGUCCAGUUACCCGACGUAGACCCGAAACCAGGCGACCUAUCCAUGAGCAGGUUGAAGCGAAAGUAAAAUUUCGUGGAGGACCGAACCCACGAGCGUUGAAAAGCUCGGGGAUGACUUGUGGAUAGCGGUGAAAUUCCAAUCGAGCCCGGAGAUAGCUGGUUCUCCCCGAAAUAGCUUUAGGGCUAGCCUCAAGCGUAGAGAAACGGAGGUAGAGCACUGAAUGUCCUAGGGGGUAUUGCACUUACCGAAGACUAUCAAACUCCGAAUGCCGUUUUCUUUUACUUGGGAGUCAGACUGUGGGUGAUAAGAUUCAUAGUCAAAAGGGCAACAGCCCAGAUCGUCAGCUAAGGUCCCUAAAUGUACGUUAAGUGGUAAAGGAUGUGGGAUUGCACAGACAACCAGGAUGUUGGCUUAGAAGCAGCCACUCAUUUAAAGAGUGCGUAAUAGCUCACUGGUCGAGUGAUUCUGCGCCGAAAAUUUCCGGGGCUAAAACGUACUACCGAAGCUACGGCAUCAUUUAUGAUGGGUAGGGGAGCUUCGUAUGCAGGCUGAAGCAUGACCGUAAGGACAUGUGGACAGUAUACGAGUGAGAAUGUUGGCAUGAGUAGCGAGACGUGGGUGAGAAUCCCACGGGCCGUAAACCCAAGGUUUCCAGGGGAAGGUUCGUCCGCCCUGGGUUAGUCGGGACCUAAGCCGAGGCCGAAAGGCGUAGGUGAUGGACAACAGGUUGAUAUUCCUGUACCGCCAAUAAGCGUUUGAGAGAUGGAGUGACACAGUAGGAUAAGCUAACCGUACUGUUGGUUAUGUACGGCUAAGCAUUGAGGCAGUCUAAAUAGGCAAAUCCGUUUAGACAAUGCUAGGAUGUGAUGGGGAAGCCCUUCGGGGCGAAGUAGCUGAUUUCACACUGUCAAGAAAAGCUUCUAUCGAGUUUAAAGGCGCCCGUACCGUAAACCGACACAGGUGGGUGAGGAGAGUAUCCUAAGGCCAGCGAGAGAACUAUUGUUAAGGAACUCGGCAAAAUGACCCCGUAACUUAGGGAGAAGGGGUGCCUGUCUAUGACAGGCCGCAGAGAAUAGGCCCAAGCGACUGUUUACCAAAAACAUAGGUUUCUGCUAAGUCGCAAGACGAUGUAUAGGAGCUGACGCCUGCCCGGUGCUGGAAGGUUAAGGGGAUCUGUUAGAGCAAUCGAAGCAGUGAACUUAAGCCCCAGUAAACGGCGGCCGUAACUAUAACGGUCCUAAGGUAGCGAAAUUCCUUGUCGGGUAAGUUCCGACCCGCACGAAAGGCGUAACGAUUUGGGCACUGUCUCAACAAUAGACUCGGUGAAAUUGUAAUCCCGGUGAAGAUGCCGGGUACCUGCGACAGGACGGAAAGACCCCAUGGAGCUUUACUGUAGCUUGACGUUGGGUCUUGGUACUACAUGUACAGGAUAGGUGGGAGACUAUGAAGCAUGGACGCCAGUCUGUGUGGAGUCAUCCUUGGGAUACCACCCUUGUAGUACUGGGAUCCUAACCAUAGGCCUUGAAUCAGGUCUUGGAACACCGUCAGGUGGGCAGUUUGACUGGGGCGGUCGCCUCCUAAAAAGUAACGGAGGCGCUCAAAGGUUUCCUCAGCACGGUCGGAAAUCGUGCGAAGAGUGUAAAGGCAAAAGGAAGCUUGAUUGCAAGACAUACAGGUCGAGCAAGGACGAAAGUCGGACUUAGUGAUC